CCGCAUGGUUGAACUAUUAAAGUCACAACGGUAAAAGAUGAGCAUGCGUCCCAUUAGCUAGUUGGUAAGGUAACGGCUUACCAAGGCUACGAUGGGUAGGGGUCCUGAGAGGGAGAUCCCCCACACUGGUACUGAGACACGGACCAGACUCCUACGGGAGGCAGCAGUGAGGAAUAUUGGACAAUGGGCGCAAGCCUGAUCCAGCCAUGCCGCGUGCAGGAUGACGGUCCUAUGGAUUGUAAACUGCUUUUGUACGAGAAGAAACACUCCUACGUGUAGGAGCUUGACGGUAUCGUAAGAAUAAGGAUCGGCUAACUCCGUGCCAGCAGCCGCGGUAAUACGGAGGAUCCAAGCGUUAUCCGGAAUCAUUGGGUUUAAAGGGUCCGUAGGCGGUUUAGUAAGUCAGUGGUGAAAGCCCAUCGCUCAACGGUGGAACGGCCAUUGAUACUGCUGAACUUGAAUUAUUAGGAAGUAACUAGAAUAUGUAGUGUAGCGGUGAAAUGCUUAGAGAUUACAUGGAAUACCAAUUGCGAAGGCAGGUUACUACUAAUGGAUUGACGCUGAUGGACGAAAGCGUGGGUAGCGAACAGGAUUAGAUACCCUGGUAGUCCACGCCGUAAACGAUGGAUACUAGCUGUUGGAAGCAAUUUCAGUGGCUAAGCGAAA
rnacentral:rRNA from 1 species